rnacentral:tRNA from 1 species
AGAGUAUAGCUCAGUGGUAGAAUGUGUGCUUAGCAUGCACAAGGUCCUGGGUUCAAUCCCCAGUACCUCCA